rnacentral:lncRNA from 1 species
UCCAGAUCCCACAUUUUGAUAUAUCUGUAAAAUUCAUGAAUAAAUAGCUUUAAACUACAAAAAGCAAUAUUUAAAAAAAAAAAAAAAAAAAAAAAAAAAAAUGACCACUACAAUAAUUAUGUUGGUACGCAAAAUUAUUUUUUAAUUGAUGACUACUUAUCAUAUAUAUACUUAAUGUGACAUUUUUAGUGUUCAGAUACAUUAACUUUCAUUUUAGUGGGCAAUUACUCAUCAAUUGAGGUGCUCCUUAAUUGGAGAAAGAUUCUAAAAACAUAACUUUACAGAAAGAAUGAAAACUGCAGUUGCUCUCCCCAAUCUCAAUAGGUAUAAACUACAAAAAGCAACAUUUAAUUUUUUUUUAUUUUUUUUUAACCAUUUCAAUAAUUAUGUUGUUACACAAAUUUUUUUUAUAUAGAAGACUACUU